rnacentral:rRNA from 1 species
GACGAACGCUGGCGGCGUGCCUAAUACAUGCAAGUCGAACGCAGUGGGGACGGGUGGGUAACACGUGGGUAACCUCCCAUCAGAGGGGAUAACACUUCGAAACAGGUGCUAAACCGAUACUGAUGGAUGGACCCGCGGUGCAUUAGCUAGUUGGUGGGGUAACGGCUCACCAAGGCCACGAUGCAUAGCCGACCUGGGAGGAUGAUCGGCCACACGGGGACUGAGACACGGCCCAGACUCCGACGGGAGGCAGCAGUGGGGAAUCUUCGGCAAUGGACGAAAGUCUGACCGAGCAACGCCGCGGGGGUGAAGAAGGUUUUCGGAUCGUAAAACUCUUUUGUUAGGGAAGCGGUACCUAACCAGAAAGCCACGGCUAACUACGUGCCAGCAGCCGCGGUAAUAC